rnacentral:ncRNA from 1 species
UUUCUGAGUAGAAGCGGUCAGGGCCAUGGCUCGGGACAUUGCUCGGGAG